rnacentral:misc_RNA from 1 species
UCUCCGUUGGUGAACCAGCGGAGGGAUCAUUAUCGAGUUUAUAACUCCCAAACCCUAUGUGAACUAACCACUUGUUGCUUCGGCGCGCGCUUCGGCGCCGCCGAGGACACUUAAACUCUUUGUUUUUAUAAGCAUUUCUGAGUGGCCGAAAGGCAAAAUACAAAUGAAUCAAAACUUUCAACAACGGAUCUCUUGGUUCUG